CAGUAGCCACGGGAAUACGAGGGGGGCAAGCGUUGUUCGGAAUUAUUGGGCGUAAAGGGCGCGUAGGCGGUUUGGCAAGUUUCGUGUGAAAUCUUCGGGCUCAACUCGAAGUCUGCACGGAAAACUGCCGGGCUUGAGUAUGGGAGAGGUGAGUGGAAUUUCCGGUGUAGCGGUGAAAUGCGUAGAUAUCGGAAGGAACACCUGUGGCGAAAGCGGCUCACUGGACCAUUACUGACGCUGAGGCGCGAAAGCUAGGGGAGCAAACAGGAUUAGAUACCCCCGUAGUCCCUGUCUCUUAUAC
rnacentral:rRNA from 1 species